AUCCUCAUAUGGUGGUCUCUUCCUUUCUUUUCCUCUCCUGGUUCAUAUUUGGGCCAGAGUGACCUCUGGCAUUUACCUCCAACUAACUUUGAGGUGCAGGACCCCACAAGCCAUCAUUUAUCCUUUGGCAAAUAUAGCAGCAGUUAGCCAGCCUGUCUGUCACUUUUAGGAUUCUUUGGGGGAUAGAGAUCAGACUCCCAUGCCUGCCAAAUGCAGGGGACAAAUAUCCUGUUCUUCAGGUGGCACUGCCGGAACCCUUCUGCCUUGAGGAACAUAAAGAAGAGGAAAGAAGAUCAAAGAAUUAUGAAACAAAUGAGAUGCUUGUAAACUUCAUUAGUUAUAUGAAACCACAAAGGGGCAUUUAAUAAACUAUUCCUCUCAAAAA
rnacentral:lncRNA from 10 species